UAACACAUGCAAGUUGAGCGGAGGUAGAUGGAGCUUGCUCUAUGUACCUUAGCAGCGAACGGGUGAGUAACACGUAGAUAAUCUGUCCUAUAUUGGGGGAUAGCCCGAUGAAAGUUGGAUUAAUACCGCAUACAGCUAUAUAGUUGCAUGAUUAUAUAGUGAAAGAUUUAUUGAUAUAGGAGGAGUCUGCGGCACAUUAGCUAGUAGGUGAGGUAAGAGCUUACCUAGGCGACGAUGUGUAGCCGGUCUGAGAGGAUGAACGGCCACAAUGGAACUGAGACACGGUCCAUACUCCUACGGGAGGCAGCAGUGGGGAAUAUUGCACAAUGGGGGAAACCCUGAUGCAGCAACGCCGCGUGAGUGAAGAAGGUUUUCGGAUUGUAAAGCUCUGUUAGCAGGGAAGAGGAAGGACGGUACCUGCAGAGGAAGCCACGGCUAACUACGUGCCAGCAGCCGCGGUAAUACGUAGGUGGCAAGCGUUGUUCGGAAUAACUGGGCGUAAAGGAUGCGUAGGCGGUUAAAUAAGUUAUAUGUUAAAUAUAUAGGCUUAACCUGUAGAAAGCAUAUAAAACUGUUUAACUAGAGUGCAGGAGAGGUAAGUGGAAUUCCUAGUGUAGCGGUGAAAUGCGUAGAGAUUAGGAAGAACACCAGUGGCGAAGGCGACUUACUGGACUGUAACUGACGCUGAGGCAUGAA
rnacentral:rRNA from 1 species